AUUGAACGCUGGCGGCAUGCCUUACACAUGCAAGUCGAACGGUAACGCGGGGCAACCUGGCGACGAGUGGCGAACGGGUGAGUAAUGCAUCGGAACGUGCCCAGUUGUGGGGGAUAGCUGCUCGAAAGAGCAGCUAAUACCGCAUACGACCUGAGGGUGAAAGCGGGGGAUCGCAAGACCUCGCGCAAUUGGAGCGGCCGAUGUCGGAUUAGCUAGUUGGUGGGGUAAAGGCCCACCAAGGCGACGAUCCGUAGCUGGUCUGGGAGGACGACCAGCCACACUGGGACUGAGACACGGCCCAGACUCCUGCGGGAGGCAGCAGUGGGGAAUUUUGGACAAUGGACGCAAGUCUGAUCCAGCCAUGCCGCGUGCGGGAAGAAGGCCUUCGGGUUGUAAACCGCUUUUGUCAGGGAAGAAAUCUUCUGGGUUAAUACCUCGGGAGGAUGACGGUACCUGAAGAAUAAGCACCGGCUAACUACGUGCCAGCCGCCGCCGUAAAAC
rnacentral:rRNA from 1 species